rnacentral:rRNA from 1 species
CUAUCUAGUGAUAAAUGAGAGUUCAAGUUCCUNGGAAUAGGNCNUCACAGAGGGUGAGAAUCCCGUCUGNACAUUUAUUUAUUACUUAAUUGAGGUNNUCUCGACGAGUCGAGUUGUUUGGGAUUGCAGCUCAAAAUNNGAGGUAAAUUUCUUCUAAGGCUAAAUAUUGGCAAGAGACCGAUAGCGAACAAGUACCGUGAGGGAAAGAUGAAAAGCACCUUGAAAAGGGAGUUAAAUAGUGCGUGAAAUUGUUAAAAGGGAAACGAUUGAAGCCAGUAUUAUUAAUAAUAGCUCAACAAUGAUUAACGGGAAGAUGGUCGCGUUUAGAGUUGUUUAUAUACCUAAAUCGAUUAUUUGAACUUUAUAAUUGUGCAUUCUAUUAUUGAUGAGUCAACAUCAGUUUAAUUUAUUGGACAUUACUUUUAGGAAGGUGGUAUUAAUUUUCGGAUUUUUACUUUAUAGACUUUGAGUAGCACAAUGAAUUAGACUGAGGUGCAUAUGCAAGCUGCAAUUACUUGAUAACAAUAAUUAAUCCCGAUGUUUAGCUCGAUUUGGACAGCUUGCCUGACCAAGUUAGAGGAGAUACGGAUAAAGAUUAUUGAGAGUAAUUUUCAGGAUGUUGACGAAAUGGUUUUAAACGACC